UACGAGUGCCCCAAGCGUUAUCCGGAUUUACUGGGCGUAAAGCGUCCGUAGGCGGUUUGUCGCAUCUCCUGUUAAAUCUACCAGCUCAACUGGUAGGCUGCGGGAGAGAUGGGCAGACUAGAGGAUGGAAGAGGCAAGCGGAAUUGCUGGUGUAGGGGUUAAAUCCGUUAAUAUCAGCAGGAACACCAAAUGCGAAGGCAGCUUGCUAGUACAUUCCUGACGCUCAGGGACGAAAGCGUGGGUAGCGAAUGGG
rnacentral:rRNA from 1 species